AUACGGAGGGUGCGAGCGUUACUCGGAGUCACUGGGCGUAAAGCGUCCGUAGGCGGUCGGGUAAGUCGGGUGUGAAAGCCCCGGGCUCAACCUGGGAAGUGCACCCGAUACUGCUCGACUCGAGUGCGGGAGAGGAUGGCGGAAUUCCCGGUGUAGCGGUGAAAUGCGUAGAGAUCGGGAGGAACACCAGUGGCGAAGGCGGCCAUCUGGCCCGCAACUGACGCUGAGGGACGAAAGCGUGGGGAGCAAACAGGAUUAGAAACCCGGGUAGUCC
rnacentral:rRNA from 1 species